GUCGCUGAGUCAACAGGCACCGACGCCGUUCGGCCCGUUACUGCGCGCUGGGCCCGGUAGCGCCGCCCCCCAUCCGCGCCCUCCCCGCCGGCGCAGCAGGCCCACGACGCGCCGCAGUUCCUCGACGCGCCGCACGCCGCUGCUCCCGGCUGGCCCAGCUCGCCCCCGACGCGCCGCCCUCCUGCUCCCAACCGGCCGGCGCGCCGCACGACCAGCGCCCCGACGCGCCGCCCCUCUGCUCCCGGCCGGCCAACGCGCCGCACGCACUAGGGCCCCGACGCGGCGCCCCCAGCCUGCACACCCCACCUGCCACCGACGCGCCGCACGGUUCUGCUCCAAGCCAAAUCUUGCUCAUCGGUCAUGGGUGAGACUUCCAGUGUAUCGAUCAUCCCUGCAGCUGCAUUUGCCAUGUAUCCUCUUGGGCCGAGUGGGAUCUCCUGAUUUCGUGCCCUGAGUGUGAUGAUGCAGUAGAGGAAUGGACAUCUCGCAAGCACAAAGGGAAAGUUUUCUUCAAAUGCGUGAAGUAUACUGAGUCACUAGGAGACAAGAAAUGGUCAUUUUUCAGAUGGAGAGAAGAGUACAAGCAAGAAGUCACCAAGAAUCUCAACCGGGCCCAGCGCGCAGCAACGGCCUGAACGGCGUCGGUGCCUACUGACUCAGCGCCAGCGUGGACCGGUCUCGUGGCUGCCACAUUCUCAAAUGUGGU